CACCAAGCCUGACGACCUGAGUUAAAACUACAAACCAAUUAUUUCAUGGGAUCCCCACAUAUGAACUAGGGGCUGAAUUGUGUCCCAUCCCCCACCCACUGAUAACUUACACAUUGAAGUUCAGGUCCCCCUGGGAUCUCUGAAUAUAAUGUUACAUAGAUAGCAAUUGGGUCUUUACAGGGACAAUCAAAUCAAGACUCUGAUUAAAAGUGAGUUACAUUCCCAUAUGACUGGUGUCCCAAAGGAAGUGAAAUUUGGCUACACACACACACACACACACACACACACACAUAUGCACGCACGCACGCACGCACGCACGCACAUGGAUACCAUGUAGAUAUGGUAGCAGAAACCAGAACAAGAAACUCAUAAACUAAGCGGUCAUUUCAAGAAGAUGGCCAGCAAAGCACUAAUAUUGGGCGAGACCUAGGGGCAGACCCUUCCUCUUGGCCUGAGAAGGUGACAGCCCUGCCCUGCCACACAGGGCCACUGGCCUCUUAGCACCCUAAGCUUGUGUCCAAGCCAUCUGUUGGUAGUGAUUCAUUACAGCAGUGACAGUGAGCCAACCAUCUGGAGACCCUAAUCACAGCACUUGGAUUCACUUAAGGGGACCAUGGGAAGUUUCUACACUGUCCACACCCUUAUAAGUCCCUGCGGCAUUCAUAGUUCCUCCUCAGUCCCUCGAGGGCAGUAAAAGGACAGGCUCUGUGAAGCUGAAGUACAGCCCUGUAAAUUGGGCCAAAAAAGAAUGUUCUAGAAAGAGGGAAUCCAAAGCCCCCUCCUACCCCCUGGGCAGCAAGGGAGGGAGGCUGUGGGUGCUCAGGUGGUAUCUGGGACUCGUGGUUUGCAGACAUGGCCUGCUGCCUGCCAUGUUACUCUUUCAGGGCCUAGAGGAUACGCUGCAAUUGGCAUUCAAGCAAGCAAGGUGGGAUUAUUGCUUCCUUGAUGGCGAGGGUUAGGUUUCCUUCCUGUGACCAGCACCCCCGGCCUAGCCGCUCCCUCCCUGGAAAAAGCUACAGACACGUGUAUCCUGGCCAUCUGGGGCUGGGUUCCUGUCCCUCACCGUGCAGAAGGAGCUGUUUUUCAAGGCCUCACAACUACAAAUGCCUCAGACUGCAAGGACUCAUUUGCCACUUGUCACCAUCCCUCUGCUCCUGGACUUAGGGAGAGGAGUGCUGAGAAUAUGCCAGAGCUAAAAUGAAGAACUAAGGAGAGGACCUGCAGGUGACCAGUGCCUGUACACAGGUGUGAGGACAAAGGCCUGCAAGGGUGGAGAUUCCGACAGUCACUGUGGUGGAACUCCAUAGGCAUUAAACCUGUGGAUGGAACCAAGUAUAGAUCAGUUUCUGCGUACUGCCAGCUGCCUGCCAGGCACCGUAUUCCCUCGUGUGUCUUGUGGUAUGCAUGUGCCACUUCACAGAGCUUAUGUCCCAUCAUCUUCCCAUUCUUCCAACACAUCCUGAGUGAACAUUGCCUCCACCUCUCCGUUGUGUACAAGGAGACCUGAGACAAAAUAAGGCAUGCCAUAUCUGUGUUGUGUGCAAGGAGACCCGAGACAAAGUGAAGCAUGCUAUAUCUGGAAGUUCAUGUUUCUUAAGAAGUGGCCAUCCAGCCGGGCUUCAUGCAUGCUAGGCAAUUACUCUACCAACUAAGCUACAUCCGAGAACCAUAGUUCUAAUCAAUCUCUCUCUCUCUCUCCAGGGUUUCUCUGUGUAGCCCUGGCUGUCCUGGAACUCACUCUGUAGACCAGGCUGGCCUUGAACUCACUGAGAUCUGCCUGCCUCUACCUCCCAAAUGCUGGAUUAAAGGUGUGCACCACCACUACCCAGCCAGUCCUAAUCUCCUGAACAUGAGAUGACAUUACUCUGGAAUUUUCUGCCUGGAGACUGCCAGACCUAACCACUAAUGUAUAGGUGACAACACUAUCCAUGACUGGUUUUCCUUGGAGACACAAUGCCUUACAUUUUCCUUGCACUCCUUGUAGCAUAUAGCAUAUAAUAAGUGCUUUGGUUUGAUUUGAUGUAUGCUUUUAAAACU
rnacentral:lncRNA from 1 species